rnacentral:lncRNA from 1 species
GCAAUUCUCCUGCCUCAGCCUCCUAAGUAGCUGGGAUUACAGGGAGAGGAGCGGAAGACCUUCUGGUGUGGGCUGGGCAGCAAUUCACUUGAAGGAGAAACAGCCCGGGUGUGGAGAGGCGGCUGUCCUUGGAGGGAUCCUUUCUAAGGAGCCGAGAAAUCAACGUAGAGCUUCCUCUAUCUGAUUCUCUAACAACUGCAGACCUUCCAUGAGUCAAGCUUUGUGUCAAAAGGACAAAUUAAAAGGACCUAUAAAAGGCAUCACCAAGCCCAGUGGACAGAUGCCCCAGGCUGCACAUUCUGUCAGUGCUGUUCUGGAAAAGGCCCAAACACAUGCUGAAACAUGGAAGGUAAAACCAGCAAGCAGCUGACUACAUUCCAUCCAGCCGUCCCCCAAAACCCAUGUUCUCAACCAUUCGCAUUGUUCCAAUAACUGCUCUUUUAAAAAGAGAAAACAGGCUAGGUACGGUGGCUCACGCCUGUAAUCCCAGCACUUUGGGAGGCCGAAACAGGAGAAUUGCUUGAGCUCCAGAGUUCCAGACCUGCCUGGGCAACAGAACAAGGGCUCAUCUCUACUAGAAGUCAAAAAAUUAGCCAGCUGUGGUGGCGUGCACCUGUGGUCCUAGCUACUUGGCUGGCUGAGAACUCAUUUAUGUAUCUCAUUUGAUCUCAUCACAACCUGAGACACAGGUCAUAAUAGAGACUUCGGGGCUCAUUUUAUACCCGGUGAACCAGCCAACUUUCAUGCAGUUGAGAAAAGUAUAAGAAGCCAGCCCUCGGGAACCACCAGGAGCCAGGAGCACCCCGGCCCCGCAGGGCCCCAAGUUCAGCCUGCCCCAACCCCUCUGGUGCAGAGUUCCUGGGACACCAUCUGCAGCCCCGCCACGCCCCUCAAAGUCAAGGGCACAGGCGGCUGGGGCUUCCCCGCCCGCCCGACGACUUCCUGCUGCCCCAGCAGCCGCCACAGUCACCACCACGGCCCCUGGACGACCCAGAGCUCCUGCUGCCGCCCCCUGACUUCAUGGAGGCGCCCCAGGACUUCGUGCCCCCUCCCCCUGCUGUCGCCAAGAGGCCUCCUAUGCCCCACCCCCACAAGAGGCACGAAGCAUCAAUGUUCAGAUGCCGCAAAUGAAUAAAAUAAAUGAAUAAAAGUUCAACGUUCUUCCUA